ACCAACAAAAUCUGAGCAUGUGGUCAUCGUUUGGCUCUUCAACAUCUGCCAACAUUAGCCACAAAGCAACAGAAAUAGAACCAAGAAACAAAUGGGUAACCUCAAAUAGCUUUGGGGUUUACCGCAAUGUUGUGCUUGAGUGAGCAUCCAGAGCCAACUAGAAAUUGGCAUGGCCGUGGUGGGCUUUGGUGUGUAGAACUGCUCUGAUUUCUGCAACAUGUAUUGAUUAUCACUGCCCGUGUAUUUACUUGUUCACUGAGCCAUUUGGGAUGUUCUUGGUCUCAGGGCCUGAGGAUCAUUUUCUCCGAUGCAUCACGGCUCAUAUUCCGGCUCAGUUCCUCCAGCGGUGUGCGGGCCACCAUCAGACUGUAUGCAGAGAGCUACGAGAGGGAUCCCAGCGGUCACGACCAGGAACCACAGGCGGUGCUGAGCCCUCUCAUAGCCAUCGCGUUGAAAAUAUCCCAGAUUCAUGAGAGAACUGGCCGGAGGGGACCCACUGUCAUCACCUGAGCACGGGGCAGCAGAGCACACAGAGAGACACUCCACCACCGUGCCUUCUUGCUUCCUGUUUGUGCCUCUUAGGACUUUGG